AAGCGUGGGUAGUCGCUGUUCAUCUUGCAUGAGCAGAGGAAAGUCCAGGCUCGCCCGGACUGGGAUGUCCGGAGUGUUUGUGCCUAUCGCAAGGUAGGGCAGUCGGGAACGGCUGACGGCGGUGAAAAUACCUAAGGCCCUCUGGGGCUAUGGUAUGAAUAACCUGAAAGUGCCACAGUGACGUAGCUAUGUUGGAAACAGCAGAGGUGGAACGGGUAAACCCCUCAAGCGAGCAACCCAAAUUUGGUAGGGGCA
rnacentral:RNase_P_RNA from 1 species